ACAGCGAAACUGCGAAUGGCUCAUUAUAUAAGUUAUCGUUUAUUUGAUCCGUACCUUACUACUUGGAUAACCGUGGUAAUUCUAGAGCUAAUACAUGCUGAAAAUCCCGACUUCGGAAGGGAUGUAUUUAUUAGAUUCAAAACCAAUGCCCUCUGGGCUCUCUGGUGAUUCAUGAUAACUGCUCGAAUCGCACGGCCUUGCGCCGGCGAUGGCUCAUUCAAAUUUCUUCCCUAUCAACUUUCGAUGUUUGGGUAGUGGCCAAACAUGGUUGCAACGGGUAACGGAGGGUUAGGGCUCGACCCCGGAGAAGGAGCCUGAGAAACGGCUACUACAUCCAAGGAAGGCAGCAGGCGCGCAAAUUACCCAAUCCCGACACGGGGAGGUAGUGACAAUAAAUACCGAUACAGGGCUCUUUUGGGUCUUGUAAUUGGAAUGAGUACAAUUUAAAUCCCUUAACGAGGAACAAUUGGAGGGCAAGUCUGGUGCCAGCAGCCGCGGUAAUUCCAGCUCCAAUAGCGUAUAUUAAAGUUGUUGUGGUUAAAAAGCUCGUAGUUGAACCUUGGGCCUGGCUGGCCGGUCCGCCUCACCGCGUGCACUGGUCCGGCCGGGCCUUUCCCUCUGUGGAACCCCAUGCCCUUCACUGGGCGUGGCGGGGAAACAGGACUUUUACUUUGAAAAAAUUAGAGUGCUCCAGGCAGGCCUAUGCUCGAAUACAUUAGCAUGGAAUAAUGAAAUAGGACGCGCGGUUCUAUUUUGUUGGUUUCUAGGACCGCCGUAAUGAUUAAUAGGGACAGUCGGGGGCGUCGGUAUUCAAUAGUCAGAGGUGAAAUUCUUGGAUCUAUUGAAGACCAACUACUGCGAAAGCAUUCGUCAAGGAUGUUUUCAUUAAUCAGGAACGAAAGUUAGGGGAUCGAAGACGAUCAGAUACCGUCGUAGUCUUAACCAUAAACUAUGCCGACUAGGGAUCGGACGAUGUUAUUUUUUGACUCGUUCGGCACCUUACGAGAAAUCAAAGUG
rnacentral:rRNA from 1 species